AUUGAACGCUGGCGGCAUGCCUUACACAUGCAAGUCGAACGGCAGCACGGGAGCAAUCCUGGUGGCGAGUGGCGAACGGGUGAGUAAAGUAUCGGAACGUGCCCAGUCGUGGGGGAUAACGUAGCGAAAGUUACGCUAAUACCGCAUACGAUCUAUGGAUGAAAGCGGGGGAUCGCAAGACCUCGUGCGAUUGGAGCGGCCGAUAUCAGAUUAGGUAGUUGGUGGGGUAAAGGCUCACCAAGCCGACGAUCUGUAGCUGGUCUGAGAGGACGACCGGCAACACUGGGACUGAGACACGGCACGGACUCCGACGGGAGGCAGCAGUGGGGAAUUUUGGACAAUGGGCGCAAGCCUGAGCCAGCCAGGCCGCGUGCAGGAUGAAGGCCUUCGGGUUGUAAACUGCUUUUGUACGGAACGAAAAGGUUUGACUUAAUACGUUGGACUCAUGACGGUACCGUAAGAAUAAGCACCGGCUAACUACGUGCCAGCCGCCGCCGUAA
rnacentral:rRNA from 1 species